rnacentral:rRNA from 1 species
CCUACGGGUGGCAGCAGUGGGGAAUAUUGGACAAUGGGCGAAAGCCUGAUCCAGCCAUGCCGCGUGUGUGAAGAAGGCCUUCGGGUUGUAAAGCACUUUCAGUGGGGAAGAAAGCCUUGGGGCUAAUACCCUCGAGGAAGGACAUCACCCACAGAAGAAGCACCGGCUAACUCCGUGCCAGCAGCCGCGGUAAUACGGAGGGUGCGAGCGUUAAUCGGAAUUACGGGGCGUAAAGCGCGCGUAGGCGGUCUGAUAAGCCGGUUGUGAAAGCCCCGGGCUCAACCUGGGAACGGCAUCCGGAACUGUCAGGCUAGAGUGCAGGAGAGGAAGGUAGAAUUCCCGGUGUAGCGGUGAAAUGCGUAGAGAUCGGGAGGAAUACCAGUGGCGAAGGCGGCCUUCUGGACUGACACUGACGCUGAGGUGCGAAAGCGUGUGUAGCAAACAGGAUUAGAUACCCGGGUAGUC